UAAAGCCUGGAGAAAAUGUAACUAUGGAGUAUAACAUUAGUGGGGUCCAAAAGAAAGAUAGUUUUGUUUGGUACAGACAGAGUUUUGGAGAAGUGCCUCAGGUUUUGGCGAGACCGUACGCUGGCACUCCUGGCUACACAUUUUUUGAGGGAUUUAAUGAUAACCGCUUCAGUGUUACUGUAAAGGAGCAAAGUUUGAUCUCAACAUUAAUGAAAUAAGAGAAGAUGAUGGAGGAGAAUAUUUCUGUGGAUAUGUGGAUGGAAGUACAGUAAAGUUCACAUCUGGAACACGUCUGCAGUUUGAAGGUGAAGAGAUGAAACCCUGUCCUACACCUGGAACACUUAACAAGAACACACACUCUGUUACACACCAGGGUUCAAACAGCAGAGAUGGAGAAGGUAAAGAGAUGAAACCCUGUCCUACACCUGGAACACUUAACAACAACA